CUGAUCCAGCCAUGCCGCGUGCAAGAUGAAGGCCCUUAGGGUCGUAAAUUGCUUUUCUUAGAGAAGAAACCCCCAAAUUCAUUUGGGGCUGACGGUAUCUAAGGAAUAAGCACCGGCUAACUCCGUGCCAGCAGCCGCGGUAAUACGGAGGGUGCAAGCGUUAUCCGGAUUUACUGGGUUUAAAGGGUGCGUAGGUGGAUCGGUAAGUCAGAGGUGAAAGCCCCAAGCUUAACUUGGGAAUUGCCUUUGAAACUGUCGAUCUUGAGUAUAGUUGAGGCUGGCGGAAUGAGCGGUGUAGCGGUGAAAUGCAUAGAUAUGCACUAGAACACCGAUUGCGAAGGCAGCUAGCUAAACUAUUACUGACACUGAGGCACGAAAGCGUGGGUAGCAAACAGGAUUAGAUACCCUGGUAGUCCACGCCCUAAACGAUGUUCACUCGACAUUGGCGAUAUACUGUCAGUGUCUAAGGGAAACCAUUAAGUGAACCACC
rnacentral:rRNA from 1 species